rnacentral:rRNA from 1 species
GACGUAGGGCGCGAGCGUUGUCCGGAUUUAUUGGGCGUAAAGAGCUCGUAGGCGGCUUGUCGCGUCGUCCGUGAAAACUUGGGGCUCAACCCCAAGCUUGCGGUCGAUACGGGCAGGCUAGAGUUCGGUAGGGGAGACUGGAAUUCCUGGUGUAGCGGUGAAAUGCGCAGAUAUCAGGAGGAACACCGGUGGCGAAGGCGGAUCUCUGGGCCAUUACUGACGCUGAGGAGCGAAAGCGUGGGGGAGCGAACAGG